rnacentral:misc_RNA from 1 species
CUGUCAGCCCCGUCGUCCCCGCGUAACCGCCGCCGAGCUGCUCGCGCCCACCUCCCCCGCGCCCACGUCGCGCGUGGAACUCGCCCCACCUCGCCCUCGGCCACUUGUGCCCCGAGCCCACUCGCCCUCACCCUCUCCCCCCAUUUGCGCCCAGUAGACCCUCUCUUCCCCCCUCGCUGCGCGCACGCAGAGCACCGCCGCCAUAACCCCGCCGUCCCGAGCUCGGUUCUUCGUCGCCGUUGGAGCUCCGCCGCGCCCUUAGCCCCGGUGAGCUCCGCCCCGACGCCCGCAACUCGGAACGCGCCCCAAUUCCCUCUCCCCCUCCCUAUUUCUCUCUGCCCGCGCUCACCCGUCGUCCGCCGUGCAGCCGCCACCGUCGACCCGGGUCCCCGUCGCGUCUCCGUCGCCGCCGAGGAGUCCCCGGAGCCCGCCUUGAGGGGGCUCAGGCUGUUUCCUGAGUACCUCUCCGUUGUCCCUUACAACCCUUACCUCCUUCGGCUCUUCAACUGUCACAUCAAUGUUGAGGCGUGUGGGAGCAUCAAGGCUGUUAAGUACCUGUUCAAGUACAUAUACAAAGGCCAUGAUCAUGCGUCUGUUGUUAUGAGAGAUGCGAGCAAGGAAAAUGAUGAUGUAGAUGAGAUCCAGCAGUAUAGAGAUGCAAGCGACAAGGUCGAGCGAGUUGUCAACCGUCCAGGUGCUGAUAGGUCAAUGAUUACAGCAUAUUUUGAGGCGAAUAAGCUACACGAGGAGGCUCGGGGCAUCCUGUAUCGUGACUUCCCUGAGUGGUACACUUGGCAGCAGGGCAAAGUGUGGCAACGGAGGAAACAAAAUACAGGUGGACAGGUCGGUAGAAUUGCCUCCACUCUACCAUAUGAGGGGGAGCGCUUCUAUCUUCGGCUCCUCCUAAACCAUGUGACUGGUGCUACCUCCUAUGCAGAUCUAAGGAUAGUAGAUGGUGACACACUACCAUCGUUUCGUGAGGCAGCACAAAGAAGGGGAUUGCUUGAAGCAGACAACACAAUAGAUGAGUGUCUCAAUGAAGGUGAACUUUACCAAAUGCCAUCAGCGCUACGAAGGUUGUUUGCAACGAUACUGGUUUACUGCGAGCCGAAUGAUGUGGCAGAAUCGUGGUAG